CACUCCUACGGGAGGCAGCAGUGGGGAAUUUUGGACCAUGGGCGAAAGCCUGAUCCAGCAAUGCCGCGUGAGUGAAGAAGGCCUUCGGGUUGUAAAGCUCUUUUGUCAGGGAAGAAACGGUGAAAGCUAAUAUCUUUUGCUAAUGACGGUACCUGAAGAAUAAGCACCGGCUAACUACGUGCCAGCAGCCGCGGUAAUACGUAGGGUGCAAGCGUUAAUCGGAAUUACUGGGCGUAAAGCGUGCGCAGGCGGUUUUGUAAGUCUGAUGUGAAAUCCCCGGGCUCAACCUGGGAAUUGCAUUGGAGACUGCAAGGCUAGAAUCUGGCAGAGGGGGGUAGAAUUCCACGUGUAGCAGUGAAAUGCGUAGAUAUGUGGAGGAACACCGAUGGCGAAGGCAGCCCCCUGGGUCAAGAUUGACGCUCAUGCACGAAAGCGUGGGGAGCAAACAGGAUUAGAUACCCUUGUAGUCCCAU
rnacentral:rRNA from 1 species